rnacentral:rRNA from 1 species
GGAUUAGAUACCCUGGUAGUCCACGCCGUAAACGAUGAUCACUCGCUGUUGGCGAUACAAAGUCAGCGGCCAAGCGAAAGCAUUAAGUGAUCCACCUGGGGAGUACGUUCGCAAGAAUGAAACUCAAAGGAAUUGACGGGGGCCCGCACAAGCGGUGGAACAUGUGGUUUAAUUCGAUGAUACGCGAGGAACCUUACCUGGGCUUAAAUGUAGGGUGCUUUUCCUCGAAAGAGGAUUUUCCUUCGGGACACUUUACAAGGUGCUGCAUGGUUGUCGUCAGCUCGUGCCG